rnacentral:rRNA from 1 species
ACCCGCUGAACUUAAGCAUAUCAAUAAGCGGAGGAAAAGAAACCAACAGGGAUUGCCCCAGUAACGGCGAGUGAAGCGGCAGUAGCUCAAAUUUGAAAUCUGGGGUCCCCGACCUCCGAGUUGUAAUUUGGAGAGGCAUCUUCGGGGGGGAGCGCCGGCCCAUGUUCCUUGGAACAGGACGUCGCAGAGGGUGAGAAUCCCGUGCCAGGCCGGCUCCCUCCUCCCGGGUGAAGCGCCUUCGACGAGUCGAGUUGUUUGGGAAUGCAGCUCCAAGUGGGUGGUAAGUUUCAUCUAAAGCUAAAUACCGGCGGGAGACCGAUAGCGCACAAGUAGAGUGAUCGAAAGAUGAAAAGCACUUUGAAAAUAGAGUCAAAAAGUACGUGAAAUUGUUGAAAGGGAAGCGCUUGAGACCAGACUCAGGCCCGGGCAAACACCGCGCCCCCCCGGGGCCGUGCAAUUGCCUGGGGCUGGGCCAGCAUCAGUCGGCGUGGCGGGAAAAAGGCGCGGGUAAUGUGGCUCCCCUCGGGGAGUGUUACCAGCCCCGCGCUCAAUGCCGCCGACGCCGACUGAGGACCGCGCCUCGGCUAGGAUGCUGGCUUAAUGGCCUUCAGCGACCCGUCUUGAAACACGGACCAAGGAGUCUAACAUCUAUGCGAGUGUUUGGGCGCCAAACCCUUGCGCGGAAUGAAAGUGAGCGGAGGUGGGAACCCCCCAGCGGGGCGCACCAUCGACCGAUCCUGAUGUCUUCGGAUGGAUUUGAGUAGGAGCAUAGCUGUUGGGACCCGAAAGAUGGUGAACUAUGCCUGAAUAGGGUGAAGCCAGAGGAAACUCUGGUGGAGGCUCGCAGCGGUUCUGACGUGCAAAUCGAUCGUCAAAUUUGGGUAUAGGGGCGAAAGACUAAUCGAACCAUCUAGUAGCUGGUUCCUGC